CACUCAAUUAACCUCAAUUGCGGAUGGUCCAAAGCACUCUAAGUCAUUCUCCAUUACAUAUGUACGGCUGCAGUUGACAUGUAUCAUUGACAAAUGGUAUCCAUAUGUACCUAACCAUCAAACACACAGAAAGAAGUCAUAUCUUUGGGUAACAAUUAACAUGUAACUAUACUUUAGAAAAGGUUUGUAAAGGCAUUUAUUUUUGGAUUUGUGAAGUCUACAUAAGCACGACAUAAAUGCUUCAGGAAUCCUUUAAAGACAAAGUCAUACUGCAUAAAGGCUGAUACAAAAUGUUCCUCCAUCUGCUGCUUUGCCAAAUGUGGCGUAAUCCUUUUGCAUGGCACGUGUAUUUGAAUGAUCUAUAUUCUAGGCCUUGUGGGUUGGUCAUGAGGGUUUAUGAAGGCAUGGCUAUUUUUAACUGGGCUUUAUUCAUGUUAUGUUGAAAUCCAUUGAGUAGUAGAAGGGUUAUGGGGUUCUUUUCCACCUGGCGUCCUGCUUGUGUUUUCAGAUGUCACUGCUUGUCAGACAUCACUGUGUUAAAUAUGAACUUUAAUCCUGUUAGUGUAAUCAAAACUCACACAGCACCAGGCCAUCUGGGAUCACAGUACACACCACAGGGUAUACAAAAUACACACUCGCGCAUGCAGGCGCGCAUACACACACACUGCUCUCACUGACAAAAUAGCUUGCGGGCAGAAAACAAUGCAAAGUGAAAGGAAAUUAAUAUUUAAGUAGAUCAUUUGCAAGAUUUUAGAUAAUUAGCAGGACAUAUUCAUGUAUUCAGGUUGGGGAAUAUAUCACAUUGAGACAUUUCUGCUUAUUCUAAUCAGAUACAUGCAACCUGUCACUGGGUUCGCGUAUGCAAAUGGCCAUAUGCUACUAAUUACCUACGGCUGUCAUAAGCCGAGACGUUCCCUCUCCGAACGCUGAAACUUUAUUAUUAACUGUUCAACUGGACUCUUCAGAUUUAACUAAAACGUGUUUGUCCCUAAGGUCCUAUCAAAGCAUGGCAGAAAUGUGCACAUCUCAACCAGACUGGAAUUAGAUUGCUAAAUAAAGAGACUCCCAAAUGCUUUUGUCCUGGUCGCAUUCCAACGUCAGGGUAACAAAGUUUUGUCUUUGUUAACUAGAGACUUUCAUGCUGAGCUGCCAAGCUUAUUCCAUAUACCCCUAUUCUGCAUUUAAAAACAAUCUAACCUAUCUGUUAAAAGUUAACUCUGUUUACUGUAGGAUAUCUACACUGUGUACAAAACAUGUAGAACACCAGAUCUUUCCAUGACAUAGACUGACCAGGUGAAUCCAGGUGAAAGAUAUGAUCCCUUAUUGAUGUCACUUGUUAAAUCAACUUCAAUCAGUAUAGAUGAAAGGGAGGAGACUGGUUAAAGGAUGAUAUUUAACACAAUUGAGACAUGGAUUGUAUACUGUAUGUGUGCCAUUCAGAGGGUGAAUGGGCAAGACAAAAUAUAUCAGUGCCUUUGAACUGGGUAUGAUAGUAGGUGCCAGGCCGAGUGCACACCUGUCAAGAACUGGGUUUUUCACACUCAACAGUUUCCCGUGUGUAUCAAGAAUGGUCCACCACCCAAAGGACAUCCUUUGUCAACAUGGGCCAACAUCCCUGUGGAACGCUUUCAACACUGUGUAGAGUCCCGACAAAUUGAGACUGUUCUAAGUCCAAAAGGGAUGUAACUCAUUAUUAGGAAGGUGUUCAUGUUUUGUACACUCAGUGUAUAUGUACUGUUUCACAAGUGUAUUUCAUGAUCUAGUGCUUCAGCCAUGUUCUUCUUCUGCAGCAGUCAGCAGGUCAAGAGAUAAGAGAUAAGAGAUGGCAGGAGAUGAUCAACACGUUUAUUUAACUGAUCCAGUCUAACUACUCUCCUUUUUCAUCCCUCUCCCUCUCUUUCUCUCUGUCUGUCUCUCUCCUCCUCUCUCUGUCUCUCUCUUUCUCUCCCUUUCUCUCUGUCUCUGUCUCUCUCCUCCUCUCUCUGUCUCUCUCUUUCUCUGUCUCUCUCUUCCGUUUUCUCUUUCCCGUUCUCUCUCCUCUCUGUCUCUCUCCUCCUCUCUCUGUCUCUCUCUUUCUCUGUCUCUCUCCUCCUCUCUCUGUCUCUCUCCUCUCUGUCUCUCUCUUCCGCUUUCUCUUUCUCUCUCCCGUUCUCUCUCCUCUCUAUCUCUCUCCUCCUCUCUCUUUCUCUCUCUCUCCUCCUCAAUCUGUCUCUCGCUGUCUUUCUCUCUCUCUCCUCCUCUCUCUUUCUCUGUCUGUCUCUCUCCUCCUCUCUCUUUCUCUUUUUCUCUCCUCCUCUCUCUUCUUUCUCUCUUUUCUGACAUAUUUUCUACAUUAGUAACAGAGAUGGAAACAUUUCUGUCUAAUUAUUUCCUGUAGUUUACCUUGGCCCUGUGUGUGUGUGUGUGUGUGUGUGUGUGUGUGUGUGUGUGUGUUAGAAGAGCAGUGUUGGGGAAACACAGCUUGGUAAACUAACAAUUACUUCCCACUGGAACAAGUUAAAGCUACACUAAAGCUGCCCGUAAGAAAAAUAUAGUUUAUUUAACUAAAGUUACUUUGAAAAAGAAGUUCACUACAUCUAAACCACUUGGUGAAAAAUGAUCAUAUGUACGUAAAUCUGUAUUGUCAGAAAUGAUUUCCUACUUCACACCCAUUUUAUUUUAUUUUUGCAAAAAAAAGUAGUGUGUAGUUCCAGUAGUUAGCUACAUCGCUACAUGGCUAAAAAGUAAUUAACUACUGAAAACACUACCUAGUUUUGAACUACCACCAAACGACUGCAAAUUGAAGUUCACUACGUGUGUGUGUACGUCCGUGGAGGCUGCUGAGGGGAAGACGGCUCAUAAUAAUGUCUGGAACAAAUGGCAUCAAACACAUAGAAACCAUGUGUUUGAUACUAUUCCACUCAUUCUGCUCAAGCCAUUCCCACGAGCCCUUCCUCCUCAAUGCAGGUGCCACCAACCCCCUGUGGUACACGUGAAUGUGCGUACUCUAAGUUUAAACCUAAGAUUGGAUGAAUGAAUGGCAAAAUUCUAGACUGUAAUUACAUAGUUUCAGAGAAGAUGUCUACUGCUGCUGGCAGACUCUAGUUCAGUACAUACAGAACAUACACACACCACUUCCUGUCUGGGCUCCGCUGGGCUUGCUGCCUCUUCUAUCACACACAUACAAACACACACACACGGUAGUGUCCAGUGGUAACACACACACACUCCAGUGGUACUUAUUAUGCUAGGGUUACAGUUUGGAAUCCUCUGUGUUUGUGUAAGACAUUCAUUCUGAGUUUAUUUUGCUUCAGCCUGAUAUUUCCCUAAACGCCACGAUUACGUCUCUCUCUACACCCCUUCCCUUUUUCAAUCUUCUCUUUCUCUAAAGCCAUUCCUUUUUCAAUCUUCUCUUUCUCUUUCUCUAAAGCCAUUCCUUUUUCAAUCUUCUCUUUCUCUACACCCCUUCCCUUUUUCAAUCUUCUCUUUCUCUAAAGCCAUUCCUUUUUCAAUCUUCUCUUUCUCUAAAGCCAUUCCUUUUUCAAUCUUCUCUUUCUCUAAAGCCAUUCCUUUUUCAAUCUUCUCUUUCUCUAAAGCCAUUUCAAUCUUCUCUUUCUCUAAAGCCAUUCCUUUUUCAAUCUUCUUUCUCUACACCCCUUCCCUUUUUUCUUCUCUUUCUCUAAAGCCAUUCCUUUUUCAAUCUUCUCUUUCUCUAAAGCCAUUCCUUUUUCAAUCUUCUCUUUCUCUAAAGCCAUUCCUUUUUCAAUCUUCUUUCUCUAAAGCCAUUCCUUUUUCAAUCUUCUCUUUCUCUUUCUCUAAAGCCAUUCCUUUUUCAAUCUUCUCUUUCUCUAAAGCCAUUCCUUUUUCAAUCUUCUCUUUCUCUACACCCCUUCCCUUUUUCAAUCUUCUCUUUCUCUAAAGCCAUUCCUUUUUCAAUCUUCUCUUUCUCUAAAGCCAUCCCUUUUUCAUGUUUGCCUUUCAGUUUAUUUUCUUGUCGUUUUCUACCCGCUAUUUGGUCUUUCGUGGCACUCCCUUUCUUCAUCUUCUCUUACACUGCUACCAUUUUUUCUAUUUUGGUUCACCCCACCACUUUGGUUCACCCCACCCAGAAAACCCCUGUUCAUAUCCCCCUACGGCAUUCCCCUCCUCUCUAACUAACAGAGUGUGUUGUACAGUACUUUUUGUGGUUGGGCCUGGUUUUCUGUUCCAUUAUUGGGUAAAUGUAAGAGCUGAACCACCAUAGACCACCCAGAGACACAAUACACUCCUCAUGGUGUUUACACACACACAUCCACACCUACACACAUGUACACACCAGUGGCGCCUGGUGGGAGGAGCUAUAGGAGGACAGGCUCAUUGUAAUGGCUGGAAUGGAAUAAAUGGAACAGCAUCAAACACAUCAUAUGUAUGGAAAUCACAUGUUUGACUCCAUUCCAUUCCAGCCAUUACAAUGAGCCUGUCCUCCUACAGCUCCUCCCACCAGCCUCCACUGGAACACACCAAACUCAAAGUUAUCUUAAUCAAAACAAAUAACAAAGACCCAAAGCCAAUCAAUGAAAUGUAUUAAUGAAAACUGAAAUGCAUUUUAUUAUUUUCUAAUGACAUGCUUUACAGCUCUUUACAGCGCUCUGUUAGACUGCAGAUGAGUUGUUGUGUGUGUGUGUGUUUGUACGUGCUUGUGUGUCUGUGUGUCUGUGUGUCUGUGUGACUGCCACAGUGAAGUUUCAGAGCAGUGUUCUCUGGUCUGAUACUGCCCCCUAUUGUUCUCAUCCACUAAUCGUGUCACCUGUCUCUGUCUGCUGAUGAAGUAAGGAAAGGAUCAUCCUGGUAGUAUUCUGAGCUAGUACGGUGGAUACAUCUGAAAUACUUCGUUGUAGAAAACGAUAGGGUUCUCAAUUAUGAACCUCCCAAAAAUAUUAAAUGCUUUAUUCCAUGUCUGAAAUGUUUAUACAUUUUUAUUAAACACAUCUAUACCUAUUUUCUAUCUCCUCCACUAACCCUUCUAUCUCUCCUCCCC
ensembl:lncRNA